rnacentral:rRNA from 1 species
GAUGAACGCUGGCGGCGUGCCUAAUACAUGCAAGUCGAGCGAACGGACGAGAAGCUUGCUUCUCUGAUGUUAGCGGCGGACGGGUGAGUAACACGUGGAUAACCUACCUAUAAGACUGGGAUAACUUCGGGAAACCGGAGCUAAUACCGGAUAAUAUUUUGAACCGCAUGGUUCAAAAGUGAAAGACGGUCUUGCUGUCACUUAUAGAUGGAUCCGCGCUGCAUUAGCUAGUUGGUAAGGUAACGGCUUACCAAGGCAACGAUGCAUAGCCGACCUGAGAGGGUGAUCGGCCACACUGGAACUGAGACACGGUCCAGACUCCUACGGGAGGCAGCAGUGGGGAAUCUUCCGCAAUGGGCGAAAGCCUGACGGAGCAACGCCGCGUGAGUGAUGAAGGUCUUCGGAUCGUAAAACUCUGUUAUUAGGGAAGAACAUAUGUGUAAGUAACUGUGCACAUCUUGACGGUACCUAAUCAGAAAGCCACGGCUAACUACGUGCCAGCAGCCGCGGUAAUACGUAGGUGGCAAGCGUUAUCCGGAAUUAUUGGGCGUAAAGCGCGCGUAGGCGGUUUUUUAAGUCUGAUGUGAAAGCCCACGGCUCAACCGUGGAGGGUCAUUGGAAACUGGAAAACUUGAGUGCAGAAGAGGAAAGUGGAAUUCCAUGUGUAGCGGUGAAAUGCGCAGAGAUAUGGAGGAACACCAGUGGCGAAGGCGACUUUCUGGUCUGUAACUGACGCUGAUGUGCGAAAGCGUGGGGAUCAAACAGGAUUAGAUACCCUGGUAGUCCACGCCGUAAACGAUGAGUGCUAAGUGUUAGGGGGUUUCCGCCCCUUAGUGCUGCAGCUAACGCAUUAAGCACUCCGCCUGGGGAGUACGACCGCAAGGUUGAAGCUCAAAGGAAUUGACGGGGACCCGCACAAGCGGUGGAGCAUGUGGUUUAAUUCGAAGCAACGCGAAGAACCUUACCAAAUCUUGACAUCCUUUGACAACUCUAGAGAUAGAGCCUUCUCCUUCGGGGGACAAAGUGACAGGUGGUGCAUGGUUGUCGUCAGCUCGUGUCGUGAGAUGUUGGGUUAAGUCCCGCAACGAGCGCAACCCUUAAGCUUAGUUGCCAUCAUUAAGUUGGGCACUCUAAGUUGACUGCCGGUGACAAACCGGAGGAAGGUGGGGAUGACGUCAAAUCAUCAUGCCCCUUAUGAUUUGGGCUACACACGUGCUACAAUGGACAAUACAAAGGGCAGCGAAACCGCGAGGUCAAGCAAAUCCCAUAAAGUUGUUCUCAGUUCGGAUUGUAGUCUGCAACUCGACUACAUGAAGCUGGAAUCGCUAGUAAUCGUAGAUCAGCAUGCUACGGUGAAUACGUUCCCGGGUCU